GAUGAACGCUAGCGGCAGGCCUAAUACAUGCAAGACGAACGGUAACUUUGGUAGCAAUAUUGAAGCAAGAGUGUCGUAAGGGUGCGUAACACGUAUGCAAUCUCCCCUCAACAGGAGGAUAGCUCCCCGAAAGGGGAAUUAACACUCCAUAAGAUUGUGGUCUGGCAUCAGACGGCAAUUAAAACUACGGUGGUUGAGGAUGAGCAUGCGCAUGAUUAGUUAGUUGGCGGGGUAAUGGCCCACCAAGACGAUGAUCAUUAGGGGAACUGAGAGGUUGAUCCCCCACACUGGCACUGAGAUACGGGCCAGACUCCUACGGGAGGCAGCAGUAGGGAAUAUUGGACAAUGGGUGCGAGCCUGAUCCAGCCAUGCCGCGUGCAGGAAGACGGCCUUCUGGGUUGUAAACUGCUUUUGCCAGGGGAUAAAAGUCCCUGCGGGAAAUUGAGGUACCUGGUGAAUAAGCCACGGCUAACUACGUGCCAGCAG
rnacentral:rRNA from 1 species